CCUACGGGAGGCAGCAGUGGGGAAUUUUGCGCAAUGGGGGCAACCCUGACGCAGCAACGCCGCGUGAGUGAUGAAGGCCUUCGGGUCGUAAAGCUCUGUCAGAGGGGAAGAAAUGCAGGUGGUGAACAACCAUUCUGUUUGACGGUACCCUCAAAGGAAGCACCGGCUAACUCCGUGCCAGCAGCCGCGGUAAUACGGAGGGUGCGAGCGUUGUUCGGAAUUAUUGGGCGUAAAGCGCGUGUAGGCGGUUUGUUAAGUCUGAGGUGAAAGCCCCGGGCUCAACCGGGGAAGUGCAUUGGAUACUGGCAGACUUGAGUACGGGAGAGGAGAGUGGAAUUCCCAGUGUAGAGGUGAAAUUCGUAGAUAUCGGGAAGAAUACCGGUGGCGAAGGCGACCUCCGGGCCCGCAACUGACGCUCAUCCGCGAAAGCGUGGGGAGCAAACAGGAUUAGAUACCCCUGUAGU
rnacentral:rRNA from 1 species